rnacentral:rRNA from 1 species
UACGAAGGGGCUAGCGUUGCUCGGAAUCACUGGGCGUAAAGGGUGCGUAGGCGGGUCUUUAAGUCAGGGUGAAAUCCUGGAGCUCAACUCCAGAACUGCCUUUGAUACUGAAGAUCUUGAGUUCGGGAGAGGUGAGUGGAACUGCCGAGUGUAGAGGUGAAAUUCGUAGAUAUUCGCAAGAACACCAGUGGCGAAGGCGGCUCACUGGCCGAUACUGACGCUGAGGCGCGAAGCUAGGAGCAAACGG